rnacentral:rRNA from 1 species
GAUGAACGCUGGCGGCGUGCCUAAUACAUGCAAGUCGAGCGAACAGACGAGAAGCUUCCUCCUCUGACGUUAGCGGCGGACGGGUGAGUAACACGGGGGUACCCUACCUCUAAUACUGGGAUAACUUCGGGAAACCGUAGCUAAUACCGGAUAAUAUUGUUUACCGCAUGGUUCAAGAAUGAAAUACGGUUGUGGUGUCACUUAGAGAUCUAUCCGCGCCGCAGUAGCUAGUUGGUAAGGUAACGGCUUACCAAGUCAACGGUGCGUAGCCGGGCGGGGAGGGUGAGCCGCCACAAUGGGACUGAGGCACAGUCCAGACUCCAACGGCAGGCAAGAGUCGGGAAUGUUGCAGCAUGGGCGAAUGCUUGACGGAGCACCGCCGCCUGAGGGAUGAAGGUCUUCUGGUCGUUGAAGGCUGUUAUUAGGGAAGCACCAUUGUGUAAGUAACUAUGCACGUCUUGACGGUACCUAAUGAGAAAGCCACGGCUAACUACGUG